rnacentral:rRNA from 1 species
GACGAACGCUGGCGGCGUGCUUAACACAUGCAAGUCGAACGGAAAGGCCCUGCUUUUGUUGGGUGCUCGAUUGGCGAACGGGUGAGUAACACGUGAGUAACCUGCCCUUGUCUUUGGGAUAACUUCAGGAAACUGGGGCUAAUACCGGAUAGGAGCUCCUGCUGCAUGGUGGGGGUUGGAAAGUUUCGGCGGUUGGGGAUGGACUCGCGGCUUAGCAGCUUGUUGGUGGGGUAGUGGCUUACCAAGGCUUUGACGGGUAGCCGGCCUGAGAGGGUGACCGGCAACAUUGGGACUGAGAUACGGCCCAGACUCCUACGGGAGGCAGCAGGGGGGAAUAUUGCACAAUGGGCGGAAGCCUGAUGCAGCAACGCCGCGUGCGGGAUGACGGCCUUCGGGUUGUAAACCGCUUUCGCCUGUGACGAAGCGUGAGUGACGGUAAUGGGUAAAGAAGCACCGGCUAACUACGUG